UCACACUGAAGGCAAUAGCUGGUC
rnacentral:siRNA from 1 species